AGUUUUCUGCAUAAGCCUAGUUUUGGUUUUACCUUGAGUUCAUUCAACCUGGCAACUAUCUGUAGGUGAGAAGUGUACUAAAAGUGCAAGAUAGUUAAUGUUCGCUUACUAGUACUGAGAGAAAUGGCCACACACAAAAAAGCAUUCAUAAGCAAGAGAGUGUUGUUUGAUGGAGAAAUCAAACCUGCAUGCAUUGAGGUACAGAAUGGCCAGGUGUGUCGAGUGCUGACAGGCGGAUUUAACGUGACAGAUUACAACCAGGUUCAAGAUGUUGGAAAUCUGCUGAUUAUGCCUGGGGUGGUGGAUGCCCAUGUUCACGUGAAUGAGCCAGGAAGGACAAGCUGGGAGGGGUAUACCACAGCCACUAGGGCAGCCGCCGCAGGAGGAAUAACUACCAUUGUGGAUAUGCCACUGUUAGCUUUUUGUUGAUUUGUUAAUUUUGAGUAAAAUCAACAUUCAUUUCUGUGAAAUAGAAUUCAUACCUAUACCAAAUACAGGUAGGAAUAGGAAAUGCUUUGAGGCAUAUUCCAUGGAAAUUAUGGUGACCAAAUUUAGGCACAAUAUGUUGCAAAUUUUCCAAAGUUUCAAACAAACAAUAUUGGUAGGAUUUUUUUUUACAUUGUGAAGUGAAUUGAAGCAAGUAAUUGAAGAGAAAAUGGUUAUUGUAGGAAUUCCAUUCCCUCAACAACAACUUUAGAUGCCUUUAGAACUAAACUUGAUGCUGCCAAAAAUCAGUGCUUUGUUGAUGUAGCCUUUUGGGGAGGGAUUGUCCCGGGAAAUGCAGAAGAGCUGAAACCAAUGUUAAAUGCAGGAGUUGUUGGUUUUAAGUGUUUCUUGAUUCAUAGUGGUGUGGACGAUUUUCCCCACGUAGAGCAAGCUGACUUAGAAACUGCUCUCAAGACACUCCAAGGAACAGAUGCCACUGUAUUGUUUCAUGCAGAGAUGGACUGUGCCUGCAAUGGAUCAAAAGGUAAUCCGGAGGAGUACCGGACUUUCCUGGAGUCCAGACCAGCAGUGAUGGAGGAGAAGGCUAUCGACCUGGUGUGCGAGAUGUGCCUCAAGUACAAAGUGAAAUGUCACAUAGUACACCUGUCUGCAGCCUCAGCUUUGCCAAGCAUUGUGGCUGCCAAGGAGAAGGGGGCCCCCCUUACUGUGGAGACGUGCCAUCAUUACCUGUCCCUCAAUGCAGAGACUGUCCCCAAUGGUAACACCCUGUACAAGUGCUGCCCGCCUAUCAGGGAAAAGAAAAACCAGGACCUGCUGUGGGACGGUCUUAAGAAGGGUUACAUAGAUAUGGUGGUCUCUGACCACUCCCCCUGUACGCCUGACCUCAAACUUCUGGACAAGGGCGACUUCAUGGCUGCCUGGGGAGGAGUAGCCUCGGUUCAGUUUGGGCUGUCUCUCUUUUGGACCAAUUGUCGAAACUAUGGGAUGAAUUUAUUUGAUAUGGUGAAGUUGAUGUGCGAGAACACUGCGAAAUUGGCUAGCCUGAGUCACAGAAAAGGUGCCAUUAGGGCGGGAUAUGAUGCAGACUUUGUCAUCUGGGAUCCUGAUGUUCCUUUUGAGGUGACAGAAGACAGAAUAUAUUACAAGAACAAGGUGUCCCCGUACAUGGGCAGAACGCUUCAGGGACGAGUAUACCAAACCGUUGUCCGGGGCAACACAGUGUAUGCAGAUGAGGCAGGCUUGACUAGUUCUCCUCAGGGUGGAUUCCAACUCAAGAACCAGCAAGACGAAAAGUCUAAAUUGUAGAGACCUAGCUGACAUUCCAGUAUUUUACUUUUUGCCUCUUUCAGCUUUAUCCAAUGAUCUGUGAUAAAAGGUUUUAAAAUUACAUAUGUUAGAGUAUACCUGUGAUAAACAGAAAGUUUAUUAAUCAUUCCAAAUGCAUGUUACUGGUUAAAUUUCAAAAGUAAAUUGGUUACAUGGUAGUGGGACAUGCUGUAGAUUGAAUGCUAGUUGUUUUCUCAUGUUAAGUAUACUGUACAUGGAUAUAUACUGUAGAAGAACAUAUUUUCGUUGGGUCAAAUUUCGUUGAUUUUAGACCAAAUACGAUUUCAUUGGCAUUUAAUUUCGUCAUAUCGUAAUCACUUUAUAUUCAUUAAUACUUGGGUUAAAAAAUUCGUCAUGGAUUUAAUUUCAUUGAUUUAUACUGCCAACAAAAAUAACAAAAUUAAAUCCUCAAUGAAAAUUUCUGCUUCCACAGUACCUAAAUGAUUAUGUAUGUAUACAGACUACAUACCAGUACAUUCCUUUUUUGGCCCAGAUCUGUUUUUACAUUAAUUUAUGCAAUCAGGUAAUUAAUUGGUUAAUUGUGACAUUUAAUUUCAUGUACCGGUAUGUGCACAUUGAUAUCAAUAUACAUAUAUGAUAUGAAUUGUUAUAUAGUUAUAAAAUUAGUACGAGGCUUAUAUUAGUAAUAUUUGUUUUUAUACAAUGUACAUGAUGUACUUUAAAUAUUUAUCACUAU
rnacentral:misc_RNA from 1 species